rnacentral:sRNA from 1 species
UCCGUAGGUGAACCUGCGGAAGGAUCAUUAGCGAAUUUGUAGCCUUCAAGGCUCACAUUCUCUAUCCUUUACACACCUGUGCACCCUUCUGAAGCGGAGAGUUAUUAGGCAUUAGCCGAGCGCCACCCUUCGGUUAUUAUAUCAAACUCUAACCACGUUUACUAGAAUGUAUUACCGUCUUGUUGUAACGACAAGUACAAUCCAAUAAAACUUUCAGCAACGGAUCUCUUGGCUCAGGCAUCGAUGAAGAACGCAGCGAAAUGCGAUAAGUAAUGUGAAUUGCAGAAUCCAGUGAAUCAUCGAAUCUUUGAACGCAACUUGCACCCUCUGGUAUUCCGGAGGGCAUGCCUGUUUGAGUGUCGUGAACACCUCAACCCUCCAAUGUUUUUUGCAUUGCAGGUGUUGGUAGUGAGCGCUGCCGGUCUUUGGAUCGGCUCGCUUUAAAAUCAUCAGCUGGAUCCAUUCUGACCUGGUUCUACUCGGCGUAAUAAGUUAUUAUCGUCGAGGACGCCUGGCCUUUUGUAGGCAGGGCGGCCACAGUAAGGGUGUUUGAACCGCUUCCAACACGUCUUGCUCUUGUAGCAAACACUUGAACCUCUGACCUCAAAUCAGGCAGGACUACCCGCUGAACUUAAGCAUAUCAAUAAGCGGAGGAAAAGAAACUAACAAGGAUUCCCCUAGUAACGGCGAGUGAAGCGGGAACAGCUCAAAUUUGAAACCUGGCGUCCUUCGGGCGUCCGGAUUGUAUUCUAGAGAAGCGUCUUCCACGCUGGUCCACGUAUAAGUGCCCUGGAACGGGCUGUCAUAGAGGGUGAGAAUCCCGUCCUUGACGUGGGCUACCAGUGUUUCUGUGAUGCGCUUUCUAAGAGUCGAGUUGUUUGGGAAUGCAGCUCAAAGUGGGUGGUAAAUUCCAUCUAAAGCUAAAUAUUGGCCUGAGACCGAUAGCGAACAAGUACCGUGAGGGAAAGAUGAAAAGCACUUUGAAAAGAGAGUCAAACAGUACGUGAAAUUGCUGAAAGGGAAACGCUUGAAGU